rnacentral:rRNA from 1 species
UACACUCCUACGGGAGGCAGCAGUGGGGAAUUUUGGACAAUGGGCGAAAGCCUGAUCCCGCAAUGCCGCGUGAGUGAAGAAGGCCUUCGGGUUGUAAAGCUCUUUUGUCAGGGAAGAAACGGUGAAAGCUAAUAUCUUUUGCUAAUGACGGUACCUGAAGAAUAAGCACCGGCUAACUACGUGCCAGCAGCCGCGGUAAUACGUAGGGUGCAAGCGUUAAUCGGAAUUACUGGGCGUAAAGCGUGCGCAGGCGGUUUUGUAAGUCUGAUGUGAAAUCCCCGGGCUCAACCUGGGAAUUGCAUUGGAGACUGCAAGGCUAGAAUCUGGCAGAGGGGGGUAGAAUUCCACGUGUAGCAGUGAAAUGCGUAGAUAUGUGGAGGAACACCGAUGGCGAAGGCAGCCCCCUGGGUCAAGAUUGACGCUCAUGCACGAAAGCGUGGGGAGCAAACAGGAUUAGAAACCCUAGUAGUCCCAUGA